ensembl:snRNA U2 U2 spliceosomal RNA
AUCACUUCUUGGCCUUUAGAGUAACAAGUGCAGUAUCUAUUAUUAUCAGUUUAAUGUCUGACACAUCAUCUCUCUAGGGAUGGUACAUUACAUAGAUUUUUGAACUAGACGAUGGUCUAGCAGCUUGUUCCUUCCUUUCCACAAAGUGCCUCCAGAAACUCCUUAGAGGAAGGAGAGAAA